UGUUGAGGGAAAAGGGAUGAUGGAGACAGACUUAACAAGCAAAGUGAACACACCCCAAAAACAGAAAUAGAAUUAGGAGGAACGGCGGGUCUGCAACAGCGGGAGCAAGCACACAAAUACGGUCAUGAUUUAUGUAAGUUACUUCAAAGUUUAGCUGAAGCCAUGGAGGAGUUUCAGAAAGAGUGAGAGAGGAUGUCCCUUACAUGUUUCAGAAUAUCUGACAUGGCCAUAUGCAGCGUGAUGCAGAACUAAGCUCAUCUGCCCGCCUGGAGCGGGGCGCUCACGUCCAGCGUGCGCACAGAAACAGUGCUGACCACGGCCUUUCUUCUGGACCAGCGAGCCCUCCCUGCAGCCCCAGCUUUCUGGCUUGCGGGACUGCCUGCGGCCUGCUCACCUGGACCUGCCUCUCGGCCGACCUUCCUGUUGCAGGCAUUUGUAGCAGAGCCCUGUGACUAGCAGGUCUUCAAAAGGUCAUCCAAACGGAUUCAAGAAAUCCUAAGACACUGGGAAUGUUUUUCUUCUGUCCUUUCCCUCUGACUCUAGGACAUAGAUUUCUCCUGUUUCCUUCAAACGAGUCUGUAGAGAUGUGGCUUUAAUUUCUUUGAUGAGGCAUGUGAGACAAUGAUCUACAAAUUCAAUAUUUCCUUUUAAAAACGCAUAGCUGUGUUUUCCCUGAGCAAAACAGACUUGCAUAGAAAAGUCACCAGCUUAGAUGGCUGAACCCGUGACGUUGUCGCAGAGACCCCGUAAGUAAAAAGUCCUCUCACCAGCAUCUGUUUGCCCUCACCUCACCUGUGUUUCUAUAAAGGGGGCAUCCCCGCCCCACGCCUCUCUCCUGGAGGCCUCCACUACCCCAGAGCCUGGGGCGCUGGUGCUGGGUGGGGACAGGAGCAGCCAGCAGAUGGCAGGAGACCGCUGCUGCUUCCUCGAGGCUCCCAGCUUCGGUCUGAGCCUGUGGAGCAGCUCAGAGACUGGACCCAGGCUUUUUCAUCAGCCUGGAAGGAAGACUGAGGGCUACAGAACCGAUCCUCAAGGAGCACAUGAAAUCUUUGAUUAAACUGAGAGAAGGUUACUUCUGAGAAUUCUAGCGAAGCCAGGUGGUUGCAGAAUUGCCUGCAGUUGUCCCCGGCGUGGUUGUUUCCUGACCCACAAUUAGUUCCACAAACCCCAGUUCCUGGAACAAAGACACAUGGAGCAAUAUUCCAGGAAGAACUCAAUUCUGAAUCAGUGGGCAUUUUUCUUUCUCAAGUCAGCAUUCUCCAGAUGAGCCUCGCUGGCUUAUCCUGACCAACGGUCUGCCUGGAAAGACCGCAGACCCCAGGAAAGAGGUUUACACUCAAGGGUCCAGCUAACAGCUUCCUGCCUUUUGAGGAAGAGAACUCUGCUGUCCUGAAUUUGCCUUCUUUCUCAGAAACCAGUCACUGGACAUCCUCUUCAUCACUGAAUUCUCCCUACAACUCUGGUAGGCCAAUUCUCUUCGACUAGUUUCAAAGAGGAAAAAAUUAGGCUCUACAUGAAGCUUCACUUGAGAAAUCUGAGUGUGUGACCCCUUUGUGUCAUACCCUGCUGUCUGCACCCAGGGUCCUUCCUGCACCCCAUGAGCCCUGCUCCAUGAAGGACAGACUGACAGGAAACAGACUCCCUGUGCCCCGUCCCUCACUGCUCAGUCUCUUACCACUCAGAUGAAGCUGUGGGGUAGAAGACCUCUGAGUGCCUCCAAGAUGAGGCGUCACAUUGGCCUCUCGGAGGACAAAAAGAUUGGUUUUGUGUUAAUGGUGAUGAUCAUUCACUCAUUCAAAAAUAAUUUACUGAGCACCCACUAGGAAACAAGGCAUCGCUGUUGGCCUGAGACUGUAGCAAUGUGCCAGACAGGAAGGGUCCAUGGGCAAAGGAUGGGCAGUAGGCAGUCCAAUAAGACACGUUCAGAUGAAGGGGUUGGCCACAGAAAAAGAAAAGGAAACAUAAGGGUACGGUAGACACAGACUCAGAGGAGAGUCUGCUUUAGUCUGCGUGGUCAGCAGGCCCCCCCGACAGAGCCCCAUGGCUGCCUCCUGCCCACACUGGGCUGCACAGCUCGCCUUUCUUGGGGGAUGGCGUUUGGGUUGAGAUCGGAUAAGGCUAUGGCCAAGGUUGCCCUCUCAUUCUUUCUUGUCUUCAUUCCUACACCCCCUUUCAACCACGAAUUGGGUCAGAUGAUGCUUGGAAUUUAGUACCAAUUACUGUAUUAAA